UACGGAGGGAGCUAGCGUUGUUCGGAAUUAUUGGGCGUAAAGAGCUCGUAGGCGGUUUGUCGCGUCUGCCGUGAAAGUCCGGGGCUUAACCCCGGAUCUGCGGUGGGUACGGGCAGACUAGAGUGAUGUAGGGGAGACUGGAAUUCCUGGUGUAGCGGUGAAAUGCGCAGAUAUCAGGAGGAACACCGAUGGCGAAGGCAGGUCUCUGGGCAUUAACUGACGCUGAGGAGCGAAAGCAUGGGGAGCGAACAGG
rnacentral:rRNA from 1 species